UUUGCCAAUCCUGAGCUUUCCUCACCCUUCCAGGGACUGGGAAGGACGGAAGUCUGCAAACCAUCGCGGCUCCGAGCGCGGAAUCCUGGCCGAAUGUGAUCUCACCCGCGGGGACAAUCUGAUGGACGGAGUGUUACUUGUUGUUCCAACACCAUGGCAAUGUCUCCAGGAGGAAUACAAAUCACUUGGAGCUGGGAGGCAGAGCCAGCUGAGCAGCAGGAUCUGCUCAGGCUGAAAACCCUCGGAGUGGCUGAAAUCAGCUGCGUGCUGGAAACGUUUAUUUUCCAUU